rnacentral:rRNA from 1 species
GAUGAACGCUGGCGGCGUGCUUAACACAUGCAAGUCGAACGGAAAGGCCUCUGCUUGCAGGGGUACUCGAGUGGUGAACGGGUGAGUAACACGUGGGUGAUCUGCCCUGCACUUCGGGAUAAGCCUGGGAAACUGGGUCUAAUACCGGAUAGGACAAUGGUUUGGAUGCUGUUGUGGAAAGUUUUUCGGUGUGGGAUGAGCUCGCGGCCUAUCAGCUUGUUGGUGGGGUAAUGGCCUACCAAGGCGUCGACGGGUAACCGGCCUGAGAGGGUGUACGGCCACAUUGGGACUGUGAUACGGCCCAGACUCCUACGGGAGGCAGCAGUGGGGAAUAUUGCACAAUGGGCGCAAGCCUGAUGCAGCGACGCCGCGUGGGGGAUGACGGCCUUCGGGUUGUAAACUCCUUUCGCUAGGGACGAAGCGUUUUUGUGACGGUACCUGGAGAAGAAGCACCGGCUAACUACGUG